rnacentral:rRNA from 1 species
CCGGCGACCGGCGCACGGGUGAGUAACACGUAUGGAACCUGCCCGCAGCAGGGGGAUAAGCGGAAGAAAUUCCGUCUAAUACCGCGUAACAACGUUGGGAGGCAUCUCCCGAUGUUUAAAGAUUUAUCGGCUGCGGAUGGCCAUGCGGCGCAUUAGCUAGUCGGCGGGGUAACGGCCCACCGAGGCGACGAUGCGUAGGGGUUCUGAGAGGAAGGUCCCCCACCACUGGUACUGAGACACGGACCAGACUCCUACGGAAGGCAGCAG